UAAACUCAUUGAUAAGCCUCACCUACUGACC
rnacentral:piRNA from 1 species